ensembl:lncRNA
UGUCAAUUGUAAACAGUGUCUUGGGUAUGGAAGGAACUAUGUGUCUACUUCUUCUUCUCAGUGCUGGGAUCCCAUCUGACUUGAACCUGUGCAGGCCCUGUGCAUGUAGUCACAGUAUCUAUUGGGGAGCCCAGAUGGCUGUGUCUCCAGUGAAGCCAGAGACAAUAUAGCAAUCAGUUAAACAAUGCCACUAUUGCAACUACAGAGAUCCCCAGCAGACUUCUGCUUUUCUGCCAUCCUGUUACAACAACUUUCUAAAAAUGUAAACAUAAAAGGGGACAAUGCUGGAUGAAAGAAAGUAGGCUGCCUCCUCUGUUUGAGUCUCCGAGACCGGUUAUUAGGAAGUCAAGCUGCUGUGUGUCAUCUGCUUCAUGCUGGAGGGCUGAGAUCAACGAGAAUCAGUGUACACCUGCGCUUAUUUGUAAAGACUUAACAGCUCAGAAGAGAUGCUAAGAUUGUACAGAGGAGUCCCAUGUGUACUGUACUCAGCUUCUUUGUAUAUAUAUGGAUUUUUUAAAGUUGGUUUUAAAGGACUUUGAGGAUUGUGCAAAAUUAGAGAGACUUGUAAUAUGAAUAAUAAAGUCCUAGAGAUAGACAUUGGGGUUCAAUCUUCAAGCUAAUGAUCAGAGAAGCAAAGAAGACAGCACCUACUCUUCCCUCUACCUCAGACUGGAAUGAGUGGCUCCAUGAAUCCUCAGAGUCCAAUGCUCUCCACCAAACCUCACACUGCAAUCCUACAUUGCUAUGCUCUCUUUGAUGUGGUUGGAGACUAAUUGCCUAAGACUGACUUUGCUUCUUCCUUAUAUACCUCUCUAGUUCUGGGAUUAAAGCUGCUGAAGGCUAUGCCUAGUUCCAUGAUCCUGCUACAGUUUGGGUCUGUGGUGAUUUCUAUGGCCCAUAUUACCAGGCUAGGACAUGCAAACCAUGCAUGUUGAAGCCUGAGGGCUGUACUGAGCAGUCCCUGCCUUUCUGUUGGCCCUGGGAGAUCUGACUCUGCACCUCCCUGGGAGAGAUAGCCCUGCCCUUCAUGGGACAGUUGAACCCCCUCCAUGUUAUGAGCACAGGAGAUCUGGCUCUAUUAUUUGCCUAAUGAGGGCAGUACCAUCAGAGGGACUAACUGACCAACUCAGCUACCACUCAGACUCACAUACAGUGUUGUGAGUUGGCCUACACCAAUAUAUACCACAUCUGUGACCUGCUGGAGUUGAUGAAGCAUCUGGUCUUGUGGAACCAUAGUUGCAGGAUUCCCCGUGACUCAGGCAACAGCAGGACAUCCAAGAAGAGUUUAGAUGAGGGUCCAGGACUGAGAGUAUAUCAGCAUCCCACGGUCUUGAAUCAGACCAGUACAAAGAACAUUUGCAAGGAAAGCUGUUUGAAAAAAGGAUAUACUUGAUGACACAUUGCAGCUCCCAGUAACAAUAAGAGCAGUGAAGAGGUAAGGAGGUAAGGAGAUGUGGGGAAGGUGGAAGAGCAAAGUGGGUUUUUGUUUUGUUUUCUGCUUUUUUUAAAAUCAAUGUUUUUAUUUUUUUAUUUUCAUUUGGAGGACACUAUAAUGGUAAAGGACAGUUAUGAAGGGACUGGGAAAUGAAUGGAAUGGAAUUGGGGUUCAUGAUAUGAGAUUCCCAAAGAAUAAAAUAAAAAUUAUAUGUUUAAAAUAAAAAGAAAGAAAAAAAGCAAGCAAUCAAGUUGAGCAAGCCAAUAAGCAGCACCCUCCAUGGCCUCUGCAUUAGCUUCUACCUGCAGGCUCC